CACGGGAUUGCUUAGUAGCGGCGAGUGAAGCGGCAGAGCUCAAAUUUGAAAUCUAGUACCUUUGGUGCUCGAGUUGUAAUUUGUAGAGUAGUGCCUUGGGGCCGUUCCUUGCCUAUGUUCCUUGGAACAGGACGUCAUGGAGGGUGAGAACCCCGUGUGGCGAGGGGUGCGGUUCUGUGUAAGGCCUGCUCGAAGAGUCGAGUUGUUUGGGAAUGCAGCUCUAAGUGGGUGGUAAAUUCCAUCUAAAGCUAAAUACAGGCGAGAGACCGAUAGCGAACAAGUACAGUGAUGGAAAGAUGAAAAGAACUUUGAAAAGAGAGUGAAAAAGUACGUGAAAUUGUUGAAAGGGAAGGGCAUUUGAUCAGACAUGGUGUUUUGCGCCCCCUGCUCCUUGUGGGUGGGGGAAUCUCGCAGCUCACUGGGCCAGCAUCAGUUUUGGCGGCUGGAUAAAUCCGGAGGAAUGUGGCUUCUCUCGGGAAGUGUUAUAGCCUGCGGGAAUACGGCCAGCCGGGACUGAGGAACGCGACGCAAGUCAAGGAUGCUGGCAUAAUGGUUAUAUGCCGCCCGUCUUGAAACACG
rnacentral:rRNA from 1 species